UGCGCUUUUAGCUCAGUUGGUAGAGCAGCGGACUCUUAAUCCGCGUGUCCAGGGUUCGAGCCCCUGAAGGCGCAU
rnacentral:tRNA from 3 species